rnacentral:tRNA from 1 species
CUUAAUUAGUAUAAAAAGUAUUAUAGACUUCCAAUCUUUAGGUCUGAACUCAGAUUAAGC